UGUUUAUCCAUCUAUCAAUCUUGAUCCUAGGACUUGUUAAGGAUUUAAGAUUUAGCAAGUAACAACUUUUUAACUUAUCUUUGAAACUACAAAAAACCCUAACAAAAACACAACCGCACAAAAACGCAACCAUAAAAAAACCCUAAUAAAGAACCUCAAAAAACUUCAACCAAAAUCCCAAACUGAAAUUGCAAAAAACAAAAAAAAAAACAUAGAAAACCUUGACAAAAAAUAAUGCCAAAAAAACCCAACCAAAAAUUGAGAUUGCAAAAAACCAAAAAAACAAAAAUGAUAACAAAAAAAAAAAAAGAACGACAACAACCAUAAAAAUCCCUAACAAAAAACGUCAAAAAACCCUAACAAAAAAUAACUAGAAAUCCUAACAAAAAACAAUUACAAACCCCAACAAAAAACAACUCCAACAAAUCUCAACUAAAAAAAACCACUUUAAAAGAAAAUCAUAAAAACUGUUAAAAGUUUUGAAGAAAAAAGAGAUGAGAGUACUUUGUUCAUUGAUCUUUGAUCUAUUUUCUUUAUUCAAUGAUCUUUUAU
rnacentral:lncRNA from 1 species